rfam:Jatropha curcas cultivar GZQX0401 scaffold684_29, whole genome shotgun sequence.
UGCAGAAACAUCAUUGAGUGCAGCGUUGAUGAAUUCUCGGUUGGUUGGUCAAUUUGAUUUCACCAACGCUGCACUCAAUCAUGUUUUUA